UUGAGAGAAACAGAAAAUUCUCGAUCUCGUAGGCAAGAAAAUAAAAACUCUGUUACAUUGACAACUAUUCACCAGUCAAAAGGUCUAGAAUGGGAUGUUGUUUUCAUCGUGAAGGCCAAUGAUAAUGAAAUUCCUUUGCUUCAUGAAUAUCAUGGUGUUCACCAAGGUGCAAA